rnacentral:tRNA from 1 species
GCCUAGUUAGCAUGGUUGGUAGUGCGUCUGCCUUGUCGCGCUAGGCCGCGGGUUCGAUUCCCGCCCGGGGCG